CUGCUGCUGAAAUUAAACCCCACAGCUGCCCAUGGCUUCUGAGUCUGUCAUUGGAAGUGAGGGUACUGCCAUAUUCCCUGCCCAAUCUUAUAGAACAGGGUGAGAGUAAAGGUCAGUCUACACAGAGCACCAGGAUGUCAAGUAUUAAAGAUAACAGAGUCAGAAGUAAAAGCCUCAUCUGCCAUCCUAAAUUUGAGUGGCCAAUGUCUAUGGGAAGCUGCGAUGUAUUGUUUUUUCAGAUAACACUUGUUUUUAAGUUCUAAGACACAGAAAAGCCAGCCAGGUGGUGGUGGCCCACGCCUGUAAUCCCAGCACUCUGGGAGGCAGAGGCGAGCGGAUUUCUGAGUUCGAGGCCAGCCUGGUCUACAGAGUGAGCUCCAGGACAGCCAGGGCUAUACAGAGAAACCCUGUCUUGAAAAAACCAAAUCCAAAAAACCAAAACAAACAAACAAACAAACAAACAAAAAACACAGAAAAGCCCUGGAAAUACUGAGUGUGCAGCCUUCAGCAGUAAGGCCCGGGGCCAGCCCGUAGGAAGGUAGGUGCUGUUUCUCACUGGAAGGAGACAGGGGUCCUUUGAGGGACCAUUGCUCACGCAACUGAAGCAGUGCUCAGAUAAGCCAGACUGCAGGGUUAGAGGCCCUAGUCUGGCCAGACGGCCGUCCCUUCUCAUACCAGAAUCUCCAAUGCCUCAGGCUUCAGUGGUUCACUAGAACGUUCAACGUGGCUAGAAGCCGUUGUGCCCGUGGUCAUAGGGCAUUACUGGGGAGAGACACAGAUUAAAAGCAAGGCAGGAUAAGAGCCUAGAAGCACGGGAUCUGGGAGGGUUCAGAGCCUGAAGGACUCAGAACAUGCUGCCUCCCCACUUCAGUGAGGGGACUGGAGGGUUGCCAGCCCAGGAAGGGCCUACAAUCUUCAUGUGCAAAGUUUGUACUGUGGCCCCAUUGUGUAGGUGUGGCUGACUGAUUGAUUACAUGGCUGACUGAUUGUUUACAUGGCUGACUGAUUGAUUGCAUGGUUGAUUUUUUUUUUUUUUAAGUUUCCAGGUUGACCCGUAUCACAUGACCUAAAGCUCUCACCUUAUACUAACACAGCUGAUCUCUCCUGUGUGACCAGCCCUUCUCUAGCACCAGAGGGUGUGGCCGGCUCCACCCUCAACAAAGACAUUUCUGUCACAUAUGAUGUAGAUUACUUUCCAGAAGUUGAGAGCAAAGAUGAGCCCUCCCUUUAGGUCAAGCCAAACUCUUACUCCACAGGAACAAACACAGUAAGAUCUGGAAAAGCUUGUCCUGCCAGAAGAUGAAGAAACUAUCAAAGACUAACAGAGGUUGGAAAGUCUCUGGCGCCAACCUGAAGUCAAAGAGAGAAUAAUUUGAUCAAAAAACUGAAAUUACAAUGAUUGAAUUACCUAAAACAUGUUGAAACCCUUAAGGUUGUGUAGUGGCUGCUUUCCUGUCAGCUUGAUACAGCUAGUGCCAUCCUUAAGGAGGGAACCUCAGCUGGGAAAAUGCCUCUGUAAAACUGGGCUGUGGGCAAGCCUGCAAGGCAUUUUCUUAAUUGGUGAUUGAUGGAGGAGGGCCCAGUCCAUUGUGGCCCUGGGUUCUAUAAGAAAGCAGGCUGAGCAAGCCAUGGGGAGCAAGCCAGUAAGCAGCACCCUCCAUGGCCUCUGCGUCAGCUCCUGCCUCCAGGAUCCUGCUCUGCUUGAGUUCCAGUUCUGACUUCUUCCAGUGAUGGAAGUGUAAGCCAAAUAAAAUAAACCCUUUCCUCCCAACCUACUUUUGCUCACCGUAUUUCAUCCGCAGUGGUAACCCAACUAAGACAGGUUGUGAGAAAUACCACACUACAAACCAUAGUGGUCCCUCUGAAGAGUGCCAGGAACCCAAAUCACUGAUCACAAAACGUUCAUGAAGAGGUUCAAAUACAUCUCAGCACUGCCAAAUAACUGACAAAAUAACACUUAAAAAAAAAGAGCUGCACUCACCAGGCGUGGUGGUGGCACAGACCUGUAAGCUCAGCACGUAGGAGACUGAAGCAGGCCGGAGAGUAAAUUCCAGACCAGCCAAGCAGAAUAGCAACUUCCAGACCACAAGAUCACAGGGACAUUAAAAGAUGUCUCCAGGACCGAACAAACAAGCCGAGUACAAAGUCCUAGAUUUAAUUCCCAGCGCCUCCUCCCUCAAAAGCAUUAACCCAGCAAGCGUACAAUAGAGGUGUGGGGACAGAGUCUCACACUCCAGUGGUUCCGCUGGGUUUUCUGUGGGACUGCAGGUUGAACCCAGGGUCUGGUGCAGUUCUGUGCAAGCACUCUGCCACUGAGCCAUAGCCUGACCCUGAAUUGUGUAAGGCAAACAGUCCUGCUUAAGGAGAAUUUCACUAGUGUAACUAGAGGACUAGGCGGUGAGCAGACACUUGGAUCAGACUGGAAAAUGCUCCUUAGUGACGUCUGCCAGGACUCGCCAGCAGAGUGAAAAGAUCGCUAACCAAGUGAGGCGACGUGUAGAACAUGCAGAAAUGUAAAGUCAUACACCAUAUCACAUCCAGAAUGUAAAGUCAUACACCACAUCCAGAAAUGUAAAGUCAUACACCACAUCACAUCCAGAAUGUAAAGUCAUACACCACAUCACAUCCAGAAUGUAAAGUCAUACACCACAUCACAUCCAGAAUGUAAAGUCAUACACCACAUCACAUCCAGAAUGUAAAGUCAUACACCACAUCACAUCCAGAAUGUAAAGUCAUACACCACACCACAUCCAGAAAUGUAAAGUCAUACACCACAUCACAUCCAGAAUGUAAAGUCAUACACCACAUCACAUCCAGAAUGUAAAGUCAUACACCACAUCACAUCCAGAAUGUAAAGUCAUACACCUACUUUGAAAGCACUAGGCAGUUUCUCGUAAAUGUACACUUACCAUACAGAAUCUUCAAGCAGAUUACCAAAGAGAAUUCAAAACAGAAAUCUAGGGAGAACUUUGCACAAUGGUGUUAUUGCAGCUUUGUUUAAUAAAGCUCCAAACAGAAUGGUUGUGGUAAACUGCCGGGUGACUCUCAGCACAGCAGUGUAUGGUUCCACUUACUGGACAUUGGAACAUAACAGACAUCAGCGAUUGUUGGAACCCAGGGACUAGAGGGCUCUGAGAAUGUUCUGUGUCUUAACCGUGAUAGAAUCUGAUUCUUGUAUUGGUUGAAGCCCAGAAAAAUAGUCAUUUUAAUAAAUCAAACUGGAUACUAGAGAGAUGGAUCAGUGGUUAGGCAUACACUGGCUUCUAACCCUGGGUUUGCAGCACCCACAUGGUGGCUCUCAUGAAAUGCCAGGUGGUAGGGGGUGGCACACUCUCCUGGUCUCUACAGGUGGUAGGGGGUGGCACACUCUCCUGGUCUCUACAGGUGGUAGGGGGUGGCACACUCUCCUGGUCUCUACAGGUGGUAGGGGUUGGCACACUCUCCUGGUCUCUACAGGUGGUAGGGGGUGGCACACUCUCCUGGUCUCUAUAGGUGGUAGGGGGUGGCACACUCUCCUGGUCUCUACAGGUGGUAGGGGGUGGCACACUCUCCUGGUCUCUAUAGGCACCAGGUAUGUACACAGGUGUACAAACUCUGAUGUAAGCAAGCACGCAUACAUAUAAAAUGAAUCUUUUAUAAAGAGACAAACAUAUGUAAAUUUUAUGCAAAUUAUGCCAUAGCAAAACCUGUUUUGAAAGAGGGAGGCUGGGUACAUAGCUCAGUGCUACAGCACUUGCCUAGCACACACAAAGUUCUGUGUUUGAUUCCCCAGGACAGCAGAAACAUUUAUCAGUUCAGUCUUUGACUGAUUGUGUAAAGACUGCUGAGUCUGUCAGCGAGAGGGGGUGGAGCACGCCCUGAGGUCUCUACUGUUGCAGUAAAGCACCGUGAACCUAAGCGGCCUGGGGAGGAGAGAGUUUGUUUCUUCUUACUGCUCUCAGCCACUCUUAUCACAGCGGGGAAUGAGGGCAGGAGCCCAGGCAGGGCAGGAGCCUGCAGGCGGGGCUGAUGCAGAGGCCACAGAGGGUGCUACCUAUGGCCUGCUCCUCCCGACUUAGCCUGCUUUCUUACAGAACCCAGGACCACACCAGAGGUGGCCCCACCCAUGGUGAGCUGGACCCCCCCCACAUCAACCAUUAAUCAAGAAAAUGCCCUCCAGACUUGCCUACAGCUGGUCCUAUGGCUGCAUUUCUCAGUUGCCGUUCCCUUUGAGAUAGUGCUAGCUGGGAAAGGCGCUUUCUGCUGAAUAUUGGUUUGUGACAAACCCAACCAUAUUCGUGAUUAUUGCUCAUGGUGCUGGGGAUAAAGCCUGUGUGUGGCCUCACACUGUGCUAGGCAAACUCUCUUCACAAGAAGCUGCAACACACACACACACACACACACACACACACCGAGAGAGAGACAGAGAGAGAAGACAUCUUGGUCAAGACCCUGAGCUAGGGUCUGGUCAGUCUCUAGUUAGAACUACUACAGGGGGCAGAGGGGCAUUUUAAAUGACAUCAAAGAUUGCAGUCCCAGCAUCCAAGAUGUCAGGUUUUUACAGAUCAAGAAAUGCAGUGCCUUUAACAAAUGAAUUACAAGGAGAAAAGAAGGAUCCUGUGAAUUAAUAGAUUUGAGGCACAUCAAAUAAGAUCCUUCUUUAAAAUAACUGUCAGGAGGCUGGAGAGAUGGCUCAGCAGUUAAGAGCACUUGCCACUCUCCCAGAGGACCUGGGGUCAGUUCCCAGCACUACAUGGCAGCAAACCCACAAUCAUCCUAGCUCCAGAUCAGGGAUCUGAUGCCCACCUCUGGCCUCUCAGACACCAAGCGCACACGUGCUCAUAGACAUACAUGCAGACAGAGCAUUCAUGCAUGAAAAUAAAUAAAUUUUUAAAACUUUUAAAAGUAAAAUAACUA